AUACGGAGGAUGCGAGCGUUAUCCGGAUUUAUUGGGUUUAAAGGGAGCGUAGGUGGGAUAUUAAGUCAGCUGUGAAAGUUUGGGGCUCAACCUUAAAAUUGCAGUUGAUACUGGUUUCCUUGAGUACAGUAGAGGUGGGCGGAAUUCGUGGUGUAGCGGUGAAAUGCUUAGAUAUCACGAAGAACUCCGAUUGCGAAGGCAGCUCACUAGACUGUUACUGACACUGAUGCUCGAAAGUGUGGGUAUCAAACAGGAUUAGAUACCCUGGUAGUCCACACAGUAAACGAUGAAUACUCGCUGUUUGCGAUAUACAGUAAGCGGCCAAGCGAAAGCAUUAAGUAUUCCACCUGGGGAGUACGCCGGCAACGGUGAAACUCAAAGGAAUUGACGGGG
rnacentral:rRNA from 1 species